rnacentral:rRNA from 1 species
AAACCGGGGCUAAUACCGGAUAACAUUUUGAACCGCAGGGUUCGAAAUUGAAAGGCGGCUUCGGCUGUCACUUAUGGAUGGACCCGCGUCGCAUUAGCUAGUUGGUGAGGUAACGGCUCACCAAGGCAACGAUGCGUAGCCGACCUGAGAGGGUGAUCGGCCACACUGGGACUGAGACACGGCCCAGACUCCUACGGGAGGCAGCAGUAGGGAAUCUUCCGCAGUGGACGAAAGUCUGACGGAGCAACGCCGCGUGAGUGAUGAAGGCUUUCGGGUCGUAAAACUCUGUUGUUAGGGAAGAACAAGUGCUAGUUGAAUAAGCUGGCACCUUGACGGUACCUAACCAGAAAGCCACGGCUAACUACGUGCCAGCAGCCGCGGUAAUACGUAGGUGGCAAGCGUUAUCCGGAAUUAUUGGGCGUAAAGCGCGCGCAGGUGGUUUCUUAAGUCUGAUGUGAAAGCCCACGGCUCAACCGUGGAGGGUCAUUGGAAACUGGGAGACUUGAGUGCAGAAGAGGAAAGUGGAAUUCCAUGUGUAGCGGUGAAAUGCGUAAAGAUAUGGAGGAACACCAGUGGCGAAGGCGACUUUCUGGUCUGUAACUGACACUGAGGCGCGAAAGCGUGGGGAGCAAACAGGAUUAUAUACCCUGGUAGUCCACACCGUAAACGAUGAUUGCUAAGUGUUAGAGAGUUUCCCCCCCUUUAGUGCUGAA